rnacentral:rRNA from 1 species
AGUGAACGCUGGCGGUAGGCCUAACACAUGCAAGUCGAACGGCAGCACAGUAAGAGCUUGCUCUUACGGGUGGCGAGUGGCGGACGGGUGAGGAAUACAUCGGAAUCUACUUUUUCGUGGGGGAUAACGUAGGGAAACUUACGCUAAUACCGCAUACGACCUACGGGUGAAAGCAGGGGAUCUUCGGACCUUGCGCGAUUGAAUGAGCCGAUGUCGGAUUAGCUAGUUGGCGGGGUAAAGGCCCACCAAGGCGACGAUCCGUAGCUGGUCUGAGAGGAAGAUCAGCCACACUGGAACUGAGACACGGUCCAGACUCCUACGGGAGGCAGCAGUGGGGAAUAUUGGACAAUGGGCGCAAGCCUGAUCCAGCCAUACCGCGUGGGUAAAGAAGGCCUUCGGGUUGUAAAGCCCUUUUGUUGGGAAAGAAAAGCAGCAGGUUAAUACCCCGCUGUUCUGACGGUACCCAAAGAAUAAGCACCGGCUAACUUCGUG